UAACCCAAACCAUCCCCAAACCUCGAACGACACCGCCACCGUCCCGUCCGCCUCCGGUGCCGCGCCCCACCCCCACCGCCCUUCUCGACCACGACCAUGUCGGUGGCCGACGGGGACGACGACGAGUGCUUCCUCCUUGCCCUCGACGCGGCGGAGGCCGCCGCGCUUGACUCCUCCAAGCGCCGUCGCCUCUCCACCACCUCCUCACCGACGCCCGCCACUCCCCCCGCUGCCUCUGAGGGGUCCUACCUGGCUGCGCUCAAGGGAAGCCACAGCUCGGCCUGGCAGCAGCAGCAGCAGCAAGCGCUGACCUACACGCACAAGCGGGCCGACGGCUCCAAAACCCUAGCCGCGGGUACCGGGGGCGCCCAGGUGGCGAGCGGAUCGUGCUUCAAGUGCGGAGACCCCGGCCACUGGGCCAGGGAGUGCCCCCAAUCGGUUCCGACUACUGGGGGAGGGGGUGUAAUCGGCUCUGGUGCCGACAGAGGGUAUGUGAAUGCGGGUGGGGAGGUGGAGGAGAAGGCGUGCCCCUGCGGCGCCGGGAGCUGCCUCGUGCUUACUUCCAACACGCCCAGGAACCCCGGGCGGAAGUUCUACAAGUGCCCCAUGCGGGACAAUGGGGGUUGCAACUUCUUUGAGUGGUGUGAUGCUCCAUCUCCUGGCCCUGCAAAUGCUCGAAGUAACCCUGUUUUUCAGUCAGAGAAAUCAGCACCAGAUAUGCUUUGCCCAUGUGGUGCUGGAGCUUGCUUAGUUCUGACCACGAAGACAGGGAAAAAUGUAGGGAGGCAGUUCUAUCGCUGCCCAGCAAAUCAGGGUGGCGGCUCUUGUGGCUUUUUCAAGUGGUGUGACGAUCAACAGACCAGGGUAGGUGCACCACCGCAAGCUUCACCGCUGUACCAAACUGAUGCUAUGUCAAGCAUCCAAAACUCUGGCAAGGGGAGCUCCUCAUCCUGCUUCAAGUGCGGACAGGAGAACCACUGGGCGAGAGACUGCCCAAAUCAAUCAUCGGAUCCUUAUCCUGACAAGGGUGGGAGAACACUUGCUUCAGCGAGCUCGCCUGAUGGGUGCUUCAAGUGUGGUAAGACUGGCCACUGGUCCCGUGAUUGCCCAACCUCGAAUUGUGGUGGUGGUACAGGUGCCAGCCGUGCCAAGUCGUCUUCUGCUUUGGGCUCGUGGAACAGUCAGAGAUACUGAUAGCAAGCUCCUGUGAACACAAUUGAACUGACGUGGACAUGCUGUACGAAACUUGGAUAAAUGCUCCCAGACACGUGUUGCUUAGAGACCGAAGCGCCAACUCAAGUGGAGGUUGAGACCGAGCCGGAGUCCGUCGUCGACGACACUUCUUUGGUGAACCAAGGCAGGCACCCAAGCAUCUUUUUACCCUGUUUUGGAUCAAUUAAAAUAUUUGAGUCUUAUUUGUGCAUAAGUCUAUGGUAUAAAUGUUUGCUCAGCUCCUAUCUUACGCAUUACCUUCCUUGAUUUAGAAUAAAUCCUUUUAGGUGAGUAUGCUUGUGUAGGCGUCCCGAUUUAAUAGCUUAUUCAUGCUUAGUUCCGGUAGAAGUCGGGAGGUGGCAAGGUCACCACCACCUGCGAGCAAUAGGUUGCUUGCUUAAUUCUUAAAAGUUGAACCACUUGUAAUAUGAUGCGGACUUGAGCAUGAAUGGUAGGGUCAAGUGAGAUGGAGCUCACUUGGCUUAGUGUUUGCUUGGGUUGAUUAAGGCCCGUGAGCCCAUCGCUUUGAUACUUGAGCACUUAUGCGUACAGACCACAUACCAAAUUAUGGGAAUGGUAAGCCAAUUACCAUAAGUCACACUUUGCCUUGACCGGAUUCGAUGCGGGGUUGGUUGAGGUGUGAUCGGCCGUCGUGUGGUGCAUCUAACCAUUCCGACUGUUCGAUCAUAGUCGAGUGUGGUUAUGCGAAAGGUUGAGGUCAUGAUUCAACCCUUAUCCUAGGCCAAGGGUAUGGGCGUUGGGCUUGCACCUCGUGUGGGAAAAGUUGUACCCCCUGCAGGGUUUUUCAUCUAUUGCAAUAACCGGGCUCCAUGGUUAAGGAGCAAGCUCUUGUACUUUGACUUCGGGUGUAUAGUUACCGACUGAAGUUCAUGGAAGAUUGGAUUUGCUCACAUGAUGAUCAUCGUUACUUUAUGCAAUUUGAUUGGUGUAUUGCUAAUAGGAUAGAAGUCUUUUGCUUAUCAUAACUUUAUCAAAUGCUUUUAUUUAAAAUUAAUUACCUUGCCAAUUUCCUUGCUACUAGCCAAAUGCAUCCUCCUUGAGAGUCGGGUUGUAGACCCUUGUUGGUUAAGCCCUGCGGGGUACCCUUUGUACUCACGGUGCUGCCGUUAAGUUG